AUGGGUGGGGCAUCAGCGUGCAGGUCAUCUGUCUACAACAUUAACAUGACAGCAACCAUGAAGCCAGAUAUAGGGAUGGAUCUACCAUCACUGCUAGUGUGCAACGAAUCGGGCGGGCAUCAUUCGAUGGCUAGACCCUGCAGCUGUAGUAUGCCGCCAUCUGGAGUAUCAACAUGGUCUGCGCCAUGCUCUUUGGCUAGAUGGAUUUGUCUCAAUCAGAUGAAAAAAAACAGUUCAGAACCAAUGGUUGUCCGUGUGUGGGUGUGGCUGCGGAAUCAGGGUGCACGACUGCCACCAUGA
rnacentral:rRNA from 1 species